rnacentral:rRNA from 1 species
GAUCCUGGCUCAGGACUAACGCUGGCGGCACGCCUAACACAUGCAAGUCGCACGAGAAACUUCGUAGCAAUACGGGGCGGUAAAGUGGCGAACGGGUGAGUAAUGCAUGGGUGACCUGUCCUCAAGAUGGGAAUAACCUCGCGAAAGCGGGGCUAAUACCCAAUGUCAUCCAGGUCUUUUGGGAUCGGGAUGAAAGAUAGCUGUUACAGGCUUUUGCUUGAGGAGGGGCCCAUGUCCCAUCAGCUAGUUGGUAGGGUAACGGCCUACCAAGGCUAUGACGGGUAGCUGGCCUGAGAGGACGACCAGCCACACUGGCACUGAGACACGGGCCAGACUCCUACGGGAGGCAGCAGUGAGGAAUCUUGCGCAAUGGACGAAAGUCUGACGCAGCGAUGCCGCGUGGGGGAUGAAGGCCUUCGGGUUGUAAACCCCUUUUAGUGGGAAAGAAACACUCGGAUGUUAACAGCGUCCGGGCUUGACGGCACCCAUGGAAUAAGCCACGGCUAACUCUGUGCCAGCAGCCGCGGUAAGACAGAGGUGGCAAGCGUUGUCCGGAAUUACUGGGCGUAAAGCGCGCGUAGGUGGCUAGAUAAGUCCGGUGUGAAAUCCUUUGGCUUAACCGAGGAAUGGCAUCGGGGACUGUUUAGCUAGAGGACGGGAGAGGAGAGCGGAAUUCCCGGUGUAGCGGUGAAAUGCGUAGAGA